UACGUAGGGCGCAAGCGUUAUCCGGAAUUAUUGGGCGUAAAGAGCUCGUAGGCGGUUUGUCGCGUCUGCCGUGAAAGUCCGGGGCUCAACUCCGGAUCUGCGGUGGGUACGGGCAGACUAGAGUGAUGUAGGGGAGACUGGAAUUCCUGGUGUAGCGGUGAAAUGCGUAGAUAUCUGGAGGAACACCGGUGGCGAAGGCGGCAUCCUGGACCAAUAUUGACGCUGAGGAGCGAAAGCCAGGGGAGCAAACGGGG
rnacentral:rRNA from 1 species